rnacentral:rRNA from 1 species
AAGCGAAGCACAGAACUUAAGCSCCAGUAAACGGCGGUGGWAACUAUAACCAUCCUAAGGUAGCGAAAUUCCUUGUCGGGUAAGUUCCGACCUGCACGAAUGGMGUAACGACUUSSSCRCUGUCUCAACCAUGGRCYCGGYGAAAUUGCACUACGAGUAAAGAUGCUCGUUWCGCGCRGCAGGACGGAAAGACCCCGGGACCUUYACUAUAGYUUGRYAUUGGUGUUUGGKWYRGUUUGUGUAGGAUAGGUGGGAGACUGUGAAGCUUGGACGCCAGUUCAGGUGGAGUCAUCGUUGAAAUACCACUCUGGCUGUACUAGAUAUCUAACCUAGGUCCAUUAUCUGGAUCAGGGACAGUGCCUGAUGGGUAGUUUAACUGGGGCGGUUGCCUCCUAAAAUGUAACGGAGGCGCUCAAAGGUUCCCUCAGCCUGGUUGGCAAUCAGGU